rnacentral:lncRNA from 1 species
GCUCUCUGCUAGAAGGCGACUUGCUGCCUCGCAGAAGCUGGCGGGCAUUGUGCCCGCCACGAUCGGUCUCCUGGGCACUGGGCCACCGCCCCACCAACCCCCCUUCUCCGGACAUGGAGCCAGAGCCGGCGGCUCAGAAGCAGCCCCGACCUCGGAGGAGAAGCCGCAGGGUCUCAAUGCUCAGCGAGGAACCUGCCGCGGGGCUUCCGGCCGACACACCCGGGCCGGCGGCGAACGAGAGAGCUGUUCUCUACCAGAAACUAGUUGUGGAUGCAGGCGCUCAGAUCAAGACUGUCGUGGACCCUGUGAUGAGAAGAGGAAUUGUCACCUGAACAGAUACCAACCCUUUCAGCCUAAAAGCGGCUGUUCAAAUGAAAUGUCCUUUGCAGACCAGAACAGGACAGGCUCCUGGAAUGAAGAGAUCAGAGAAAGACUCUUUCUGGCUUUUCAGUUAUUAGCACAUUUUCACAUUCUGUGUUGUAUCUUCAUUUCUAUGUGUCUGGGAAAGGCAAACACUAGGUUGAUUUCAGAAAUCUGUGUCUGGAAGAGAGGCUGUGGGAGUCAUAAUAUUUUUAUUAAAUAGGAAAUUGAAAUG